GAAGGAAAGGGAUAGGAAGGAGGGGAAGGAAAGGGAAAGGAAGGAAAAGAAAGGAAAGUGAACUUGAAAUCCUACAAGGUCUCAAAGUCAAAAAACAUGAUUGCUGUUUUAGAGAAUUGAAGAUCCUUCAUCUUCAAGAAUCUGAAAUCUACCAUGAUCUUCACAUGUAGCCAAACACAAUGGGAUGUAGUCAUUUAAGAGUGCUGUGAAGGCAGUGAAAAGCAGUUGAAAUACCAUUAGUUAACAGAUUGCCCAAUGAAGUCGAUGACAACUGUGAUAACAAGUUACUCACUAUCACAGCGUCUCCAAGAGAUGAACAGUGGAUGAUGCUUCCAAAGCACAGAUGUCCCUCUCCUCCUCAACCUUCUCUCCCCAGAAAGAUGUCAACACUGUGGAGAUUGUGCUAUGAAGAUACCUGGUGUGGCAUUGCAAUAGAUGAAAUAUUAAGGGCAAUUCAACAAUUUUCUGAACAAAUACAUGGAUUUAACUUGAAGUUGAAUUUAAUUUGACUUCAAGAAAAAUUAUAUUUCUGGUCCUCCUAUGAUCAUGCACUAAGAAUUAUUUAACUGCAGAUACAAUUGUUACCUUUAGAGCUAGAAGGCCUCAUUUUAGAAUUAAAAUGAAUGGCAACCCAGACAGAUAA
ensembl:lncRNA LINC01020 long intergenic non-protein coding RNA 1020